UACGUAGGUGGCGAGCGUUGUCCGGAUUUACUGGGCGUAAAGGGAGCGUAGGCGGACUUUUAAGUGAGAUGUGAAAUACUCGGGCUCAACUUGAGUGCUGCAUUUCAAACUGGAAGUCUAGAGUGCAGGAGAGGAGAAUGGAAUUCCUAGUGUAGCGGUGAAAUGCGUAGAUAUAUGGAGGAACACCGGUGGCGAAAGCGGCUCUCUGGCCUGUAACUGACACUGAGGCUCGAAAGCGUGGGGAGCAAACAGG
rnacentral:rRNA from 1 species